CCCUUGCUUUUAGAAGCCAGAAGCCGCGGCUACUGUAGCGAAGGUUUAAUGAAUUUUUCAAAAUACCAUUGGGUACCCUUAUGAACUUCAAGGAAUUACACACACGACCAGCCUCUUCUCUUCCUCAACUCUCCCUUUCUGUCUUCUCUCUCUCGGUGCUCAGGACGACGUUGUGCAUCCAUCGGCGCCUCCGCCUUUGCUCUCCCUUGUGGCCACCUCGAGUUCGCAUGGCUAUGAAUGAUUGGGAGCUCAUGAUUCCUUUAGCCUUCUUUUCUGGUGAUAUGGUCAUCUUGAUUCAAAUUUAGGAAUAAAAUUAGACCUUGGUGUUGCAACAGGGAAGAAUUAUCUUCAGUGGCAUGUUACUCGGGCUGAGUUGGUGGUGACGGAAGCCAAGUUGUGCAAGGAGAUACUCAGUAAUAAAGAUGGAUUAUAUCCGAAACCCAAGUUCAGAGCUUAUGCAAAGAAGAUAUUUGGGAAUGGACUUCCACAAUUAGAAUGAAAACUGGGCGAAAUCACAAAUGCUGACUAUUGAUAAAGCCAGUCUUUCUUUUCCCUGCAUUGUGGUUUAUGUGUUGAUCUGGCAUGGUGGUAUUGUUUUGUAUUACUAGAAUAUGAUUCCAAGUUAGCUAGAAUUCAGGUCAGUUGUUUUAUAUAUGAAUUUACAUCAUAGAGUUUUAUUACUAUAUUGAUUGGGUUGAAGAUGGACCAGCUGAGGAUCUGUAUUAUGUAUUGUAUCUGCCUAUCUGGUCUCUGAGAGGAUCUGCAAAAGGAUUGGCAUAUCUCCAUGAGGACUGAGCUCAAUCCGGCCACGUACUAAUACAGCAUCGAACCUGCUAGGACAUCCACUAGAGCUUGAUCUUUUAGGAAAGCUUCUAUUGGAACCGAAGAGUAACCUCUUAAAUGAAGAAGUAUAUGAAUUGUAAUUAAAAGUGAAAAGUUAUUCAAGGAACCGAAGAGUAACCUCUUAAAUGAAGAAGUAUAUGAAUUGUAAUUAAAAGUGAAAAGUUAUUCAAGUAAAUAUCUUGGUGAAUAUGGGUAGAGGUCAUGAAGGGCAGAGCCAUUCAUUGUUUGGUCUAUGAUCCUUAGAGGCAGAGAUCUCUUCUUCUUAGCUGACAAGUACAAUGGAAAAGCUUUCGAGGAACAUGGAGCAGAUUGGGGGUCAAGUUGCUACUGUCCGAGGCUAUACUGUAUAUAAUUAUAGUGAUGGAUGAUGAUAUGCCUAAGGAUAAGGACGAGGAAGAACACGAAGAUGAGGAAGUAGUUUAUAAGGCCACAAUUUUAAUAUUUAGACUUGGUAGUAUCUUUUAGUGAACAUGUUUAUGUUGUUGUCUAUUUAGUACAUUGAUGUUGGAUAUUAGUUAAUCAAUGCUACAUCUCUAUAUAUUUUUUCUUGGAAUAAAAGUGAACGCUUCAAUUUGACUGGCA